CGAAAGCAGGUCAUAGUGAUCCGGUGGUUCUGAAUGGAAGGGCCAUCGCUCAACGGAUAAAAGGUACUCCGGGGAUAACAGGCUGAUACCGCCCAAGAGUUCAUAUCGACGGCGGUGUUUGGCACCUCGAUGUCGGCUCAUCACAUCCUGGGGCUGAAGUAGGUCCCAAGGGUAUGGCUGUUCGCCAUUUAAAGUGGUACGCGAGCUGGGUUUAGAACGUCGUGAGACAGUUCGGUCCCUAUCUGCCGUGGGCGCUGGAGAACUGAGGGGGGCUGCUCCUAGUACGAGAGGACCGGAGUGGACGCAUCACUGGUGUUCGGGUUGUCAUGCCAAUGGCACUGCCCGGUAGCUAAAUGCGGAAGAGAUAAGUGCUGAAAGCAUCUAAGCACGAAACUUGCCCCGAGAUGAGUUCUCCCUGACUCCUUGAGAGUCCUGAAGGAACGUUGAAGACGACGACGUUGAUAGGCCGGGUGUGUAAGCGCAGCGAUGCGUUGAGCUAACCGGUACUAAUGAACCGUGAGGCUUAACCUUACAACGCCGAAG
rnacentral:rRNA from 1 species